rnacentral:rRNA from 1 species
UACGGGGGGGGCAAGCGUUGUUCGGAAUUACUGGGCGUAAAGGGCUCGUAGGCGGCCAAUUAAGUCAGACGUGAAAUCCCUCGGCUUAACCGGGGAACUGCGUCUGAUACUGGAUGGCUUGAGUUUGGGAGAGGGAUGCGGAAUUCCAGGUGUAGCGGUGAAAUGCGUAGAUAUCUGGAGGAACACCGGUGGCGAAGGCGACAUCCUGGACCAACACUGACGCUGAGGAGCGAAAGCCAGGGGAGCAAACGGG